AUUGAACUCUGGCGGCAGGCCUAACACAUGCAAGUCGAACGAGUGGCGGACGGGUGAGUAAUGUCUGGGAAACUGCCCGAUGGGGGGGGAUAUCUACUGGAAAAGGUAGAUAAUACCGCAUACUAUCGGAUGUGCCCAGAUGGGAUUAGAUAGUAGGUGUGGUAACGCCUCACCUAGGCGACGAUCCAUAGCUGGUCUGAGAGGAUGACCAGCCAAACUGGAACUGAGACACGGACCAGACUCAUACGGGAGGCAGCAGUGGAGAAGAUUGCAAAAUGGGCGUAAGCCUGAUGCAGCCAUGCCGCGUGUAUGAAGAAGGCCUUCGGGUUGGAAAGUACUUUCAGCGAGGAGGCGUUACCCGCAGAAGAAGCACCGGCUAACUCCGUGCCAGCAGCGGCGGGAAUAC
rnacentral:rRNA from 1 species